UGCUUGCCUAGCAAGCACAAGGCCCUGGGUUCGGUCCCCAGCUCCAAAAAACAAAACAAGAGAUGGCCUGGAAGGGAGCCAGCAGCCAUUCAGCCUGUAGGAUUAUAGGGAGCCGGGAAAGGAAACAAAACAAACUGGUUCCUUCUGGUCAAGAGGAUGAAAUCUUUAAACUAUCAUAUGUAAAAGAAUUAAUUUAGUGGUCAGGCCAAAGGAUUACCCUGUCAGCAAGACAGGGCCACUCCUAGGAAGACAGGCUCAUUUUAAGCUGUGCUAAAGGAUCAGUGGAAUAAUCGGAUCCUUUAAUGAGAUACUAUAUUUUUCCUUCCCAGAAUUCCUGGCCCCCCAGCACAGUUCCUACAAGCUGCCAUGAGGUUCUGUGGAGUCUCCUUUUCUCUUUCCCCCCUUUUCUGCCCUUCUGAAUGCUUGUCAGAACAUAACUUUGUUUUUUGCUAAUACUUUGGGCUUCCUCUAAAGCUCUACUCUGCCUUCCUCACUGGUUUAACACCAAGAGGAUGACAUUUUUCCUUCUCUUCCUCCUCCUCCUCCAGACACAGAAGGAGUUUUUGUUUUGCCUUUGACAAGGGUCUCACUACACAGAUCUGCCUCAACUUCACACAGGUCCGACUGCUUCUACCUCCCCGAAAGGAUGGGCCAUCUGCGCCGGGCAGCCCCAUCUCAUCGUAUGGUUAACCGUUCGUGACAUGGGAAUGCAGACCACUGUGAGCCUCCAGCACCCACCAAUGAAAUUGUAGAUUACCUAAUCCCUCUAAAGACUUGCCCCAUUCUCCUUAAGAAGGCCUGUGUGCCUUUGUCUGGGGUCACCAUUCCAAAGAAUGGUUGCCUCUGCAGAAUAAAAGCUCUUUGUCUUUGCAUACUGA
rnacentral:sRNA from 1 species